GUGCGAGACCGAUAGCGAACAAGUACCGUGAGGGAAAGAUGAAAAGAACUUUGAAAAGAGAGUUAAAGAGUACCUGAAACUGCUGAAAGGGAACCGAAUCGUUUCCAGUGUCUAUAAUCUAUGGCAUAUUUCAUUGGCGUGUGGGUGUGUACAGCGUUUUGGAAGUAGUUUCUGCUCCUGUCGUUGUUUUGCGCUCGCCUGCUGGUGCCCUGUGCUGUAGUGGGACGUCAGAGUCAGUUUGCAUGCUGCGGGAAAUGGUUACUGGGGAGGUAGGUCACUUCGGUGGCUGUUAUAUCCUGGUGACUAGUCGUCGUGGUUGAGACUGAGGUGCCUACAAUGUGCUUUCGAGUCUAUGGGCCUCUCGUUUGGCUGUUUGCUUUGAUAGCUUGCUAUGUUAGUGAACGUGUCGGGCGAUUGAGACCUGUAGUAACUUGUUGCUGUUCGGGACUUUA
rnacentral:rRNA from 1 species